rnacentral:rRNA from 1 species
UUUUUUUUCUCCCGCGCCGCCGAUGUCCGCUACGUUCCUGACCUAGGCACCGGUCUCCGUCGAAGACCGCCGCCUCCCGAGCGCUACGCGUCGGUGGGGGUCCAGAUCCCAAGGGGAAAGAAGAAGAGGUGCGCUUAGUCCAAUGAUCGUGGUCGUAGCUACCGCCGUCGUCGUGGCCGCCUGCGCUUCCGCCUCCGGCGGUUCUACCUGGAGGAGCUCCUGCUGCUGCUCAAGCUCUAGCUGGUUCCAUGCACGUUCGAGUAGGGCGAAGGGGAAGAGCGGCGUCGUGACUACAACAUGAACCCGCUUGUGCCAGUUAAGUUGUACUGAACAAUCGCAGCACUACAACUAAACCAGCUAAUCCAAACCCAACUAAGCUUUAGACACGCUACCUAUGCAGCCAAUAGAGUUCGAAGGAAGUUCUAGCCAAAAUCCUCUUAUAAGCGGAGUUUAAUUCCUGUUUAAUCAUCGUGGACCUAACAAAGGCUACACCUAAAAUGGUUCGCACUCUAUCAGUACUGGAGUCCAUCAUAAUAGCACACGAGAGUCACCGGUGGACAACAGUAAAUAUUAGAAGUGAUGACGAAGGACUUAUUAAUCGAGUCACCUUAUCCAAGAGAAACUAUUACAAACAUGUACAAAUAGUCACCAACAAUGAUGCAAGGAAAAUCAAUUCGUAUCUUGUCUACCAGACUAGAACAACAUAAAUAGAAGUACUAAUAAAGAAGAUCUAAUUUAUAGUCCGUGUGUGUUGAUCCACAACGUGUAGAAGAGGGAACCCUCGUAACUAUAACUUAGGGCCAAAGAAGAAACAACUGUACUGACGGAUUUUGACGUGUUAAUCUUACCAGUCAGGUACAUCUAAGUUUCCCAUAAUCCUUUAUUUGGGCAACAACAACUGACAAAGUAGUUAACCGUAUAACUAUAGCGACAUAACUCACAAACUCAAUGGAACGGUACAGUUACAGGCCUUUAUCGUAGACGUCUGUACAACAGGUGCAUCUACCUGUUUUGCUUUGAUGUACUAUGGUACUUUGCACAGUUGUAUAUAUAAACGGUUGACAUACUAGCUAGAUAGAUUUGGUUGAAAACAGGAAAAAGAGGCAACGACGGGCACCCGUACGAACACGACACUUAUCGCCAUACGACCGGAACCUCCCAGAUCUGCGUACAUAUUCCAGUUUAUUGUCAAGUUACGGAAAAAAGAAAAAAUUUACCCUUCUUCAGUAAACCUCCUCUAUUACGAAAUUCCAAAAGAACCUAAGAUUGUUCUCCUUCACAAGAUCGAACACUACCCUGUCAGGAAAAGAUGAAUUGUAGUUAAAAGUCUGAACUAAACUUAGGUAUCCCAACCUAUGUCCCACUGUUGACGAAACAGUAACACUACUCUAAAUCCAAACCAAUAUAUGGUUUUGCCGUUUUGGAUAAAACAUUCAACGGUGAUAUGAACUAAGAAACUACUUCAACCAGAAAAGAAUACCCUAUAACUGGCAGAUUAGGCUGUUGCAGCAUAACUUCAGCUCUGCUUUUUGUAGUACACACGAGAAUGAAGAUUUUAAGAAACUUAAUAAUUGACCUACUUACACGAAGUUUCAGCUCUUUUUUACGUGAGUCGCCUUCAGGAGGCACGUGGGGAGAGAGAGGUUGGUAACGGGGAGGUGGGGCAUCGUUGCGUACCCGCACGAGACGAUAGAAGAGCCUGACCUUAAGCUCAAACACCAUUUUUAGGGUACUGUAAAGAGUACAAUUAUAACAAUAAUUGUCCUCGGGAGGGGAAAGAACAUGACAGAAACAGACACAUUUACGAGGUUUCUUCGUUCUUGGUCGUCCAGCGAACAACCAGCCACGUUGGUUCUCGUUCUUCCCAACAACCAGCGGCACCGACGCCGGCGGCUGGUUAUCGUCGUCCAGAGGCUCGUCGGUCAGGGUUCGAAACUGCAGAAGGACCUGAUCCUCUUUUCUUUGGAUUCUAAGUUCCAGAAGGGACAGGUUCUCGUCGCUCUAGGUUCUAGACUCCAGAAGGGCAAGAUCCUUAGGAUGACACUAAAAAACUUGAUGUUUUAAUGAUGUUACAACCUGUAAAAAACGGAGAAUUCACUAGAGAAAGUAAGAUACGAACUAUACAUGACGUGAAUUUUACAUCGAAACAACGUUGUCAGACUUCAGUUCCAAAUAAAAGUCCACGUAAGUUCACUCUUCAGUCUAAAUGAACGAUUUAGUACGUACACUUUAUACUACAGAAUAGUGUUCCGAUGUUUAUAAAACGUCAACAUGUCUGAUGGAUUUGAAUCGUAUAUACACACACAAGAAGUAUGAUUACGUGUAGGGUACUCUUACUUACACCUAAGGGACCAUCAAUCUCCGAAUCUCGUCUCCCUUAAUUUCAGUUUUAUUUAGAUGUCCUAUACCAAACACAAGUCACUUCGCUGACUUUGAUUGACGUCGUAACGGUUUAGACGUUUACCCUAGAUUAGAUUGAUCUCUUUACUAAAAGACGACCUGAGAUGGACUACAUGUACUUAAUAGUAAAGAAUAAAUUGUACAUUAAGACAAGUUUUACUCUUUCUACACCAUGAUACAAUUCAAUCCUACGAGUCGAGGUUGAAUUGGACAAAACGUCGAGGUAAUACAGAACGAUGUGGUUAGCGAACGGAAUCACCAAGUCCCUUGACUACCACCUAAAUGAAAAGAAAGUACAUAAUCUAUACCUCAGGCACGAAGAACCUAAAAGUUUUAAAAUAGAAGUAAAUACGACUAAAAGGACAGUUUUGAAAUUUAGUUAAUAAACGAACACAGAAGCUGAAGAACAAAAACGAUAAAGGAUUAACACGCGGGUCAGACCUAUUUUAAGUAAUCGUGUAUAAGGAAUGUGACUAUAAAAAUAUAAAUAAACAAAAACACCUUAGCUUACAUUUGUGACGUAUUAUACAGGAAACUAGAAAAAGAUCGGCGCUCGGUUGUUCAACAAGGUCAGAUCCCCGUCGGUACCAAAGCGGUACACCCAACCACCGUCUCCGGUCUGGUUACGAGGAACGCCACUGUAGAUUCAGCGCCUUCCACAGCGGUUACUGCUACAGGUGGUUAUGUUGGUUAGUAUACCACAGCUUAAGUAUAAUAAAACACUUCUUAACCUCAUGUCGGUUGACUUCCGGUGGUGGUGGUAGACUGGAAUUGGACACGUCACAGCUUAAGUAUAAGAAAACACUUAUAAACCUCAUGUCGGCUGACUUCUGGUGAAUAGUACGAAUACUAACACCGAUGAAUGUCGGUUAGUAUACGUGGAUCUCACUAUACAAGAAACAGUAUAGUACAUACAUCAAGGUGCUUGGAGUAUAACCUAUACUCACUAAACAUCUCUUAAGAACUAAAAGAAAAGUAAUAAGUACGUUCUACUACAAAGGAAUAAAAAAGGGAUAUCAUAUACUAUUAAAGCAUUAAUGAAUACCUGUAGACCAUUGGAUGGUUAUAUUUGG